GCUUCACAGCUCAAUGGUAGAGCACCUGCUUUGGAUGCAGAAAGUCCUGGGUUCAGUUCCCAGCAUUUGCAGGUAGGGCU